rnacentral:rRNA from 1 species
CUACGGGUGGCUCCAGUGGGGAAUGUUGCACAAUGGAGGAAACUCUGAUGCAGCAACGCCGCGUGGAGGAUGACACUUUUCGGAGCGUAAACUCCUUUUAUAUAGGAAGAAGAUGACGGUACUAUAUGAAUAAGCGCCGGCUAACUCCGUGCCAGCAGCCGCGGUAAUACGGAGGGCGCAAGCGUUACUCGGAAUCACUGGGCGUAAAGAGCGUGUAGGCGGAUUAAAAAGUCAGAAGUGAAAUCCUAUAGCUUAACUAUAGAACUGCUUCUGAAACUCUUAAUCUAGAAUGUGGGAGAGGUAGAUGGAAUUUCUGGUGUAGGGGUAAAAUCCGUAGAGAUCAGAAGGAAUACCGAUUGCGAAGGCGAUCUACUAGAACAUUAUUGACGCUGAGACGCGAAAGCGUGGGGAGCAAACAGGAUUAGAUACCCUCGUAGUC